rnacentral:rRNA from 1 species
GAUGAACGCUGGCGGCGUGCCUAAUACAUGCAAGUCGAGCGAACGGACGAGAAGCUUGCUUCUCUGAUGUUAUCGGCGGACGGGUGAGUAACACGUGGAUAACCUACCUAUAAGACUGGGAUAACUUCGGGAAACCGGAGCUAAUACCGGAUAAUAUUUUGAACCGCAUGGUUCAAAAGUGAAAGACGGUCUUGCUGUCACUUAUAGAUGGAUCCGCGCUGCAUUAGCUAGUUGGUAAGGUAACGGCUUACCAAGGCAACGAUGCAUAGCCGACCUGAGAGGGUGAUCGGCCACACUGGAACUAAGACACGGUCCAGACUCCUACGGGAGGCAGAAGUAGGGAAUCUUCCGCAAUGGGCGAAAGCCUGACGGAGCAACGCCGCGUGAGUGAUGAAGGUCUUCGGCUCGUAAAACUCUGUUAUUAGGGAAGAACAUAUGUGUAAGUAACUGUGCACAUCUUGACGGUACCUAAUCAGAAAGCCACGGCUAACUACGUG